rnacentral:lncRNA from 1 species
AAAUUGCCAUGGCCUAAAAAUAUUCGUGGGUUGUCGUGGCCUAAAAAAUUUCAAUGUUCCGCCAAAAUAGAAGAGCCAAAAUAUUUCGCGUAAAAUAAAUUUUUCUGGACUUUUAGCCCAAUCUCUAGUAACCAUUCUUGAUAGGUUUUUUCUUAUUAGUUCUACUUGAAAGAGCCAUUCGUCUGCAGCCUCCUUGUUUUGUCCUGUUGCUGCUGAUUGGAGAAGAACCGGUAAGAACUCUCUCUUCAAUUUCUUUACUGAUUGCUUCUCCAUUAAAUUAUUGAAUUAUCAAUUUUUGUGGUUGUAAGUACUUAAUUGGGUAUGAGUAUCUUAAUUUCUUCUAUGUUAGAUUAGGAUUUGAACUAUUUCUUCUCUAAUUUCUUAUGCUUCAAAAGCAAUUAUGCAUAAUUUUUUCUUUUAUUAUUGUUCAGUUUCUUGUUCUUUUUUUAAUCAUCGUAAACGAAGCUCUUCUGGUGCUGGUGGGGGCUGUGGUACGUAGGGGUAGUUCAAGUUGGGGUGGGAAGAGCGUGACUAUGACAUCCUACCAAGUUCCACCUUUAGCAAUUAUUGAUCCCUCUAGAUUUGCGGUUGAAUUAGCCUAUUCCCCUGUUGUUUCAAUGGCUACUGCAAUUGUUACUGCUACUGGUGGCAGUGGUGAUUAUAUGACAGGCAGUGAUGGUUGUACUGCUGAAAAUUGGAAUUGAAUGUUGCUGUUGUUUUUCAGUGGCUUUGGAUUGCCUCGAUUUUAUAUUUGACUCAUGCUGACCUUGUUGUACAUCCUCCAAAUAUCUUCCAGAACUUGUUCAUUCAUCAAAGCCUCAUACGAGUUAGAAACAGUAAUAUUUUAUGCUGUAGUGGACUGAGUUUUGUGAAUUGAAACAUUGUUCUUGCUAGGUGAGGACUGUGUUCGAUUUACUACUUCCCAGUCUAUUAUUUUUGAUUGAUUUCGAUAUUUGAAGAUAUGUUGUUGAACUUGAUGCAUUUUCAAUUAAAUCAGCAUAUUCAACAGUAGGAUUCACAUCCCCACAGCAGCUCAAUUUGUCUUCAAUGUAACUGCAACCCAUUAAUUUGAACAUAUAGUAGAUCCCGUUCUUCUUUAACAAGAUCUCCCUUGUCAAUUUCAUGUCCUUCCCUGUUAGCAUCGGUAGCUUUAGAAGAUAAUUUAAUAACUUGUUGAUCCUUAUCUUUUUCUUGGUCAUUAGACGUUUGCUUAACACCUGGAAUAUCUGAUCCAAUAUCAAUAACAACAUCUAGACAAUCUGGUUGUACAGCUAAUUCAACUUUGACAUAUGUAUGAAACUCUUUGUUAUCACCUGUACCAGUCACAUUACGAAAAGUAUCAAAUCUUUUAAUUUGUAGCAUAUCAACAUGCUUAGCAGUAUCCUUCACAGUUGUUGCAUUAUGCAUUACUGGACCAUCAACAUUUAUAAGAGCUCUAAGUGCAGAAAAUAAAUCAAGAUAUGGAAUAAUGCACCAGAUUCACUGAAGUUGUAAAAUAGGUUAAAGUUGACAUAUGAACUGCAUCUCAGAUUAUAGAAGUAUCAGGGCCAAGAGAUAGAGGUCACACAGAAAUGUAGGGAAGAAAUAUGCAUGGUUGUGUGUGACCAGGAUUAUAUAAUGAUUUAUAUAAUUUCUUUUUUGGCUGUGGAAAAAGAAAAAAGGACAAAAUGAUAACCAUACCAAAUAGUUUGAAAUAAGCAUAAAAUCAAGAGUGCUUUCAGGUAUGACGCACUUUACCUUUGCAUAUAAUCUAGAUUGUGGAUGAUUUUUCUUUCUCCUAGUCGUGCAUUAGUAAUCUGAUAUUUCCAAUCAUGUUUUUCUGCGAGUGCUUUUGAGGUUGAUGUUGUGUUUCCACAAGCUCUUUUUAGGUUGAUGGUUCCUGUUAAUAAGCUUCCACUAGUUUCAUUUGCACUUUUGUACUUUAUUGCUUCUUUUUAUCAAAAUGUUAUUAUAUUUAUUUUAUUUUUAGGAUGAGCAUGCGUAAUUAAACAAUCCUCACAUCCGGUUCAUCAAAUGCCCAAGUUGUUGGAAGAAGAUUUAUUAUUUGGGUUACUAUUAGAAUAGUACUUAAGGACCUUGGAAGAUUUAUUUUUUGAGUUACUAUUAGAAUAGAACUUAAGGACCUUGGAUAUAUGAUGUUUUUACUCGUUUUGUAAGUAAAAAUAUACUUUUAGGAUUAUUUAGUUUUUGGAAUAUAGUAUAUCUACUUCAUAAAUUUUCAGUGUAGAAAGUUUAUUUAUAUCUAUUUGAAAUAAAAUUAUAAUUGCUACUUGUAUUUGGGAAAAUUUAAAGAAUAUAUGAAUUGUGUAUUAAGUAACAACAUAUAAAUUGUUGCCAAAGUAGUACUAGAGAAUCUGUUGGCAAAAUGUUAUUAUUGCCACAAUAACAGUUGUUUCUAAAAGUAUUGAUAACAGAUUAUUAACUUUACCGCCAAUUUGUUUUUAGCAACAUUGAUAUUGCUGGCAAAAAACUAAUGUUGUCGCAACAAUAAUUUUUUAUUGCUGCAUGUCUUCAUAAUCCACGACUUCAUUGACCUUUUGCCAACAAAAUAUAACUAAUGGCAACGAUAGAUAUUGUUGUAAUAAGUUACUUUUGGCUAUAAUAUUCUCUGUUGUUGCAUAUUCGCAUCGGUGUUUAUUGCAACGGAGUGCAACGACUUGUUUAUCGUUGCCAAAAACAUUUUUGCCAACAACAUUGAAUAUAUGGCAACAAAAAUGUUGUUGUGAAAGGUCUUCAUUCUUGUAGUGGUGUGUAGUCAACCACAUCUAUAAGUUGGAGGCUACUUGGGCUUUUAGGAAUAGCACCCUUCUUUGAUAUUCUGGAUCGUGCGACAACUUGUUAUGAAAUUAAUCCCUCUCUAAUUAGUGCAUUCUUCUAUCUUUCAGUAAAUGGCACCUAAGAAGAAUGUGAGAAUUGGCCAAGAAGCCAAUGCCACCUCAGGAGUGGCUGAUGACUCACUGUUCGAUACUGAGGGUAAGGGUAGCCUCCCUGCUAUCGCCCUGCCUGAUUCUUCUAUUCCAGAGCAGACUACCCUUGUUCAUACACCUGCGGAGAGCACCACUCUCGCUCCCAUUGAUACUUUUGUUAUGCCUCUAGCCCCAGCUUUCGGUUCUAGUAUUUCUGAUGGAAAUCAUAGGGGGCUAUUCAGAUGUUGACUUAGCUAGUGGCCUCUCAGGCUCAGAGGUCAAAUGUUGCAUCCAAUUCAUCUAUCCAGCAAGGGGAUUCUACUAGUUCCAGGGUGAACAGAUUUCUUUACUGAGACCCUCCAGUACUUACGAGUGCCAAUCCAUAAGAAGAUCCUUAGAAUUUUAUUUAUGAGAUGAACAAGACCCUCAAGGUUAUGCAACUAAGAUAGAGGUAGUAGAGUUUGCUACCUACCGUCUGAAAGGGGUGGCUUAUUUGUGGUUUGAGUUAUGGGAAGAUUUCUGCAAAGGAGGGGAGCCCUCCGGCAACAUGGAGAGAGUUUGUCGAUGUCUUUAUAGAUUAUUUCCUACCUGAUGAGGCAAGGGCAACCCAUGCAGGAGAGUUUGAAAAUCUGUGGUAGCAUGAGUAUGUGGGGGUAUCACAUGGAGUUUGCUAGCCCAUCUAAGUAUGCCAUACAUAUGUUGCCCACAAUGGAGGCUAGGGUGUGUCGGUUUAUUCAGGGCCUAAAUCAUUUGACUAUCAAUGAGGCUUCUACGGCUACAUUGAAUUCUGACAUGAAUUAUAGAAAGAUGGUAGCAUUUUCUCGAUCCACAGAGAAUCGUAAACUGAAGAACAGGAUAAAAAGCGAGAGAGGGUAGUAGAAAUACCCGAUCUAUGGGGGACAUGGCUGAGUCACUUUGUGGGGGAACAUUGGCUUUUAGGUGAGGAUCCUUCGGGCCAUCCCAAUCUGUUGCACAAUAUUUAGCUAGUGCACUACCAUUAAGGCCCAACCAGCAACAAUGGAGUCUUUUCAGGCCUGGUCAGGGAAACAUGGGAUCCCACCAGAGGGGUCGAUCAGGAAAGAGGUCCCAACAGCAGCAAAGGUCGCCGUGCCCCAGGUGUGUGAAGUUGCACUCAGAGAUUUUCUAUUUGGAGUUACCUAUAUGCUAUGGAUGUGGGAUGAGGGGUCAUAUUCAGAGGCAUUGUCGUACAUCCCGACAGGGAGUGGGUAGGGGCACAGCUCAAUCAUCCAGUCUAGCAGCUGCUACAUCUUCAGCCCCCUCUCCAUCUUGUGGUACCCUAGUAGAAACCAAGGCUGGGGCAUGUCUAGCCAAACUGGUGUAACAUACAGCAUAAUCUGAGACGGUCACAACACCAUGACGAAAAUGGUCAAACUCUACACGCCAUGCAUCUCUGAGGCUCUAAGGAACAAACUCUCUGAGGAACAUAUAUGAAAACUGGGUCCAAGUCAGUGAAGCUACCUCGUCUAGGUUGUCUAACUCAAAGGUGCGCCACUAAUCAUAGGCGGCUCCUCGAAGUUGGAAAGUAGUGAAAGAAACCUCGCUCGAUCCAGAGAUACCCAUAGUAUGAAGAAUGCAGCAACACUCAUUAAGAAACCCCAAGGCAUCGUCCGAUGCUAAUCUACUGAAUAUUGGAGGAUCAUACUUCUUGAACCUCUCUAGUCUCAUAUGCUCCUGCUCGGAAGCCGCUGUCAUGCCCACGGGCUGGUGCUACAACCUGCACAGGAAUAAUCUCAGGGACUUGCUCAACAUGUGUUGUCUUCUCAGAAGUGCGAAUGGCAAGAGUCUUUGCUCCUCCCCCGGCCUGGGAUGUGGUUGCAGCAAGGGGAAGCAAUCCUGCCUAAGCCAAAGUGGUGUACAUACUCAUGAACUGUGCCAAAGUCUCCUAAAGGGCUGGAGUAGUAGUAGCAGUAGGCGUGUCAGGUGCUUGGACUCUGGCUGGAUCUACUGUUGGUACCUCCACGGCUACUCGUGCAGGUGCUCUCACUGCACCACGUGCGCGACCUCGAACUCUACCCCGAUCUCCAGCGGCUACAGCAAGGGGCUCGGGUGCCUGAUCACCUCGGGUAGUACGUGUCCUCAACAUCUGUAAGAUAGUAGAAGAUAUAGGUUUAGGAUUGUAAAGGCCAAAAAUCUUACACGACUGGGAAAUCAAAUGAAGUGGAAUUUUCCUAAUGGUUACAUAGCCUCUCGGAGAUAAGUACAGACGUCCCCAUACUGAUCCAAGAGAAUCUAAUAACCAACUUGUGAUAUGUGACUCCUAUGAACCUAGAGUUCUGAUACAAACUUGUCACGAUCCCAGUUCGCCCUCCGUGACAUGUCGUGACGACACCUAGUCCCUACGAAUACGUAAGCCUAACAAAGCGGAAGAUAAACCCUAACUAUGGAGGAAUAAUUAAAACUUAUUCAGUAAAAUAAAAUAUGUAUUUAAGGUGCCGCUCGGCACAUACAAUAACAACUUUGGAAGAUAAAAUCUCACAAAUCACAAGUUAAGGGAUAUAUUAGAGGCUCUGACUCAAGAAUAUUACACAUUGGAGAAAUACUGAAAGAAACUAUACUUAUUACAGAAAGCUGGAAAAGGACUCCUCGGCCUGCGGGCGUAGCAGAUAUACCUCGAAGUCUCUACCGGUACGCCUCCUUCCAAGGUUGAAGGAACUAAAGGGGAGUACCUGUAUCUACACAACAAUAAUGUGCAUAAGAUAGCAUGAGAAUAUCACGGCGGUGCCCAGUAAGUAUCAAGAAGAACCUCGGUGGAGUAGUGAUUAUGAACAGUCAAGACACCUACCGGUCAAAUAAAUAGCAUAAUCAUGGGAAUAAUGGAAAUGAUAUAUAAACAUGUAAAGACUGCAGGAAUGACUACAAUGCAACAAUUCACAAUAAGGGAAAAGGAGAACAAUUAACAACGAGAUUAUAAUAUAUGAUGAUACAAAAUUAUGGCAGAAUCAUAAUCCAAAUCCUUAAGUCACAACACGGCAAGGGGAAAUACAAGUCAACAACUCAUAUCCUACAAUACGGAUCGCAUAGGGUCUUAUUCAACACUUUCCACAAUUUUAUCAAAAUCUCGGACAAACCACAACUCAUAAAACCCAGCAUCUGAAACCUAUCACUUGGCAUCAUGUGCCCCAUCAAUUUCACGGUCAUACUGAAAACAACUUUCUAACUAGGGCUACUCUCACAUAUAUAAUGGAUAAACUAAGGCGCACUCCACCUUUAGCAAAAUCGGAAGGAAUUCACUUCUAAUGGGGAUUAGGGAGGACACUCAUUGGGUACACGUUGUUUUUGUAAUUAUACUACACUUGUGCAUUUUUGUUGCACAGGUAUGUGUGAUUCCGGAGGUCUACUGAACGUAGCUGCACGGAUGAUUCUGGGAGUAGGUGAAUUGCAUCAUUCGAGAUGGCCGCAACUAGAGUAGUCCUUUUCCAGCACUAUAUUUACUUUCCGUCCACUGUAUUUCGGGCGAAUGUUAUAUUUUUAUUCCUCUUAUGAGAUGCUCAUGCACUUGUGACUCUGGGUUCUGGGAUGGUUUGAACUAUUGUAUUAAUUGUUUAACUCUUAAAUAUGAUUUGAAACUAUAUUUUUUCAAAAAUUUCUAAAUAUUGAAGAAAAAUCAUGUAUUUUCAAAAGUGUUGAAACGAGAUUUGAUUAAGUAAACUGG